AAUCAACGCUGGCGGCGUGCCUCAGACAUGCAAGUCGAACGAUUAAAGCUCUCUUCGGAGAGUGUAUAGAGUGGCGCACGGGUGAGUAACACGUAAGUAAUCUACCCUCGAGUGGGGAAUAACGUCCGGAAACGGACGCUAAUACCGCAUAAUGCAGCGGCACCGCAAGGUGACAGUUGUUAAAGAUUUAUCGCUUGAGGAGGAGCUUGCGGCAGAUAGCUAGUUGGUAAGGUAAUGGCUUACCAAGGCUACGAUCUGUAACCGGUCUAAGAGGACGGUCGGUCACACUGACACUGAAUAACGGGUCAGACUCCUACGGGAGGCAGCAGUCGGGAAUUUU
rnacentral:rRNA from 1 species